CCAGCGGCCGCCGAGGGUGCCCGCCCAGGCGACCCGCCCUCCCGGCCGCGGCGCGGACGGACCGACGGACGGCGCUGCGAGCAGGAGGCGUCCGGCCAUGUUCAGCCGGAGCUCCCGGAAAAGACUCUCCAGCCGCUCGUUGACCGGACUGGGGCGGAUAGAGCGAGGCCAGCCAUGUAACGCCUGUGGUGACCAGUGCCCUGGGUUCGCCUUGCAUAAAUGGAGGAUGGUACCCGAGUCAUAGGGAAAUGCGGUGGUUACUGUGGGAAAUGCACUCCAUCCUCUGGUACUGGCCUGGAGGUGCGAGUUUUAUAGCUAAGAUCUGCUGUGAUUGUUCCUUUUCACAAACCACAAUGACUCUGGAAAACCUGGCUGUAAAGGCCAGCACUGCCACCAGCUAAGGAUCUAUGAUCAGGAGUGCCAUCUCACGGUGACUGGGGUGAAGACAAGCUUGUGCAGGCCACUGGCUAACACAGUUCAUCCCAUGCCUCCUACAUACCAAGCACUGUGCCAUGCGCUUUUCACGUCUGGCAUCCUCAGAAUCCUCCAAAAUGCUGGAAGUCCAAGAUCAAGGCUGGUUUCUUCUGAGGCCUCUCCCGCUGGCUUGCAGAUGGCUGUCUUCUCCCUGUGUCUUCAUAUGGUCUUCCGUGUGUGUGUGUGUGUGUGUGUGUGUCCCCUGAUCUUUUCUUAUAAGGACACCAGUUAUAUUAGGGGACAGGAAGAAGAGAAAGGUGAGUCUGCUAGGAAGUGAAGAGGACCUGGUGAAGACUUAGAGCAGGAGCCAGCAAGCUAUGCUAGACCAAACUGGACCUACUGCCUGCUUUUGUAAAUCAAGCUUUAUUGAAACACUGUCACUCUCCUUCAUCUAUGGCACUUUUGUACUACAAUUGCAGAGUCAGACUCAAACAACCCAGUGGGACACUCUGAAAUUUAGAGGAAGUGGUCCAAUAGAAUUUUCUGGAAUUAUGGAAAUCUUCUAUUUUGUGCAUCCAGUGUAGCAGAAUCUAGUCACAGGUGGCUUUUGAGAACUGGAAAUAUGGCUAAUGCAACUGAGAAAGUGAAUUUUUACUUUUGAUUCAUUUAAAUGUAAAUGAUCACAUAUGACAUCACUGCCAUAUUGGACAUUGCAGUUCUGGAAGAUGGCAGAUGCAGCCCUUAGAAGAAUCAUCGGCCUGAAUGUCUGGGCGGAGCAUAGCACUACCUUCCCACUUGCUCUUCCCCUCCUCUCACCCCCUCCCCUGCCUCACUUGCAUCAGACUGUGAUGUGAGCAAAAGCAUGAAACAGCUCUUUUGAUAGGCCUGUGAGACUUGCUGUUUAUUGGACUAGCUAGGCUGCUCUGACUCAUACACACCCGAAUCGUGGCAACCACUUUUAUGAAGAAAUGACAAUUCAGUCUACUACUUGUCCAUGUUACAUGCCCAAGGAAUGUGAGGGGCCUCUGCUUGGAUCUAGUUUUCAACCUAGUCUGUGGCAUUGAUUAUCCUGUUUAAAAGACAAAAGAGGUGACUUCAUGGGCACUUAACAUCUUGGCCAUACUGACCCCAGCUGCACGCUAUGUAGGAAGUUUUAGUCCAUUUAAACUGAAGUUCCAAUUUUUUUUUUACAACCAUUUAAAAUUGUCCAUGUCCCAUACAUGACAGAGAAAGGGUUGUCUGGUUGGAUGAUUUUUGGCUCACAAAAAAAGAACACAAAAGAAAAGCAUACGUUUUAAUACUCAAGAGACCAAAUUCUCUGCUGAAGAGGAAAUGAACUACAUAUCCAGAAGGGUCCUGCCAAGAGGCCAAACAGGCUGUACUCUCUUGGGGGAGUUCUCAGUGGUGAUGAGAACUUUUUUUUUUUUUUUUUAAGUCAUUUCCAAGGUGAGAUACUGACUUGCUGCGGGAGCAGGAAAACUGGUCUCUCUUUCAUUGCUAGCAGCAGAGUAAGGGUCUUGCAAGUUUCAGGCAGCAGCAGAGUAAGGGUCUUGCAAGUUUCAGGCAGCAGCAGAGAAAGCAUCUUGCAAGUUUCAGUCCAAAGCAAGAAGAGCUAGGAUUGCACCAGCCAUCUCACCUACUCUGUGCUCACCUGUUUCUGGAUGAACCACGGUGACAUCUGUUUUAUUGUAAAGAGAACCAAUUUUGGAAUCAAAUGGAACCUGUAUUAAAAUCCUGAAUCCGUCA